ensembl:lncRNA
CCCAGCGUGAAGGUGAUGAAGCAGAAGAAGCCUUUCUCCCUGAGGCCAGUGUUGAAUUCUAGUUAGACCUUCAGCUGAACAGCAGUCUGUUCCUGGUGGCAGAAAUCUGGAAACGGCCCGAGCACACUUGCUGAGAGGAGAAUGGAUGAAUGAAUUGCACACCCAUAGAGCAGAGUACUACUCUGCCAUUAAAAUAAAUGAGCAGCAUGCGGAAACAGCAUUGGGGACUCUCCAAAACAGCAUGUUGCUCUAAAGAAGCCAGACACAAAGACUGCACACUGUGAUCUACCAAGGCAAAUGAACCCACAGCAGAGGAAGUGGCUUGGUGGCUGCUGCCUGCCACGGGAACAGGAGACGUCGACGGCAGUGGGAGGGACCCAUCUGUGAGAUGAAGGUGUGUGCACCGUGGGCGGGGUACACAUGUGUUCAGGCGUGCACAGCCCGGAGGUCAAUCCAGGGUGUUGUCAGUGCCUACCUUGUUUUGCUUGCUUAAUGUUUUUAGGAAUUUAUUUUAAGCGUAUGAAUGUCUUGCCUACAUGGAUGUACAUGCAUACCUGGUGCUCAAAUUAGAAAGACGAGAGAGAUGAGACUCGAACUAUAGAGAGCACAUUAAUUGGUUUAUUAUAGGGCGGGAGAGCGAGAGGGGGAGAGAGAGCAGAGAGUAAAAGAGAAGAGAGAGAAAGAGAGAAUGUAAGUGAAGAGUGGGGAGAGAGAGGUCAACCACUGGAAACACACACACACACACACACACACACACACACACACACACACACACACACACAGAGGGGGAGAAUAAUGCUUUGGGUUUAUAAGGGGGAGCGCACUGAGUCCCUACGCAGCCCCAUAAUGAGUGGCAAGGCCGUGAUGUGGCCACGCAACCCAGGGCCCUUUAAGCUGCCUAGGUACCUGAACCUUUCACAAAGGGUGGAAAAAGAGAGUCAGAUCCCAUCGAACUGGAGUUAUGUGGUUGUGAGCCGCCAUGUGGGCGCUGGCUGUUGAAGCUGAGUCCUCUGCAAGAGCAGCAAUUGCUCUACACCAAGGAGCAAUGUCUCCAACUCCCAUUGUUUGUUUUGUGAGAUAAAAUCUAUGGCCUGAGGCUCAUAGAGUAGGCUGGGCUGGUUGGCCGGUUAGGGCUGGUCUCUGCCUCCCCAGGGCUGGGGUUAUAAGCACUGGCCACCACAUCCAGCUUUUUAGUGUGGGUGCUGGGGAUCAAACUCAGGCCCUUGGGUGUGUGCGGGCAAGCGCUUUACUGACUGGUCCACCCCCCCCCCCAGCAUCUUCCCGUUCUAUCUUGACUGUUAGAGUGGGGAGGGCAGGAAGUGUACGGGGAGUGAUUGGAACGGAUCGCACCAAACUUGAACUGUGCGUAGAAAUGGACACCCGUGUCCGUUUGCAGUGCUACACCGAAAGACCCUGGACCAGGUACCUUAUCAACAACAGAAAUUUAGCUCUUAGAGGUGUGGUGUCUGGAUGCCAGCAUGGCAGGGUCUGGUGAAGACUCUUCUAAUAACAUUUCUCUGUAUCCUCACUGAUGCAGGUGUGAGUCGGGGGGGGGGGGGGGAGGCAUCAAGUUCUCUGGGUCUCUUUUAUCAAGGUAUAAAUGCUGUUCUUGGGGACUCUGCCUUAUGACCUAAAAGACACCCCCUCACCCCAGUUCCUGAUAGCAUCACCUCGAAGCAAUAAUACAUUUUCCCUGAACAAAUCUUGAAAUAAAAAAAUAAUGCAAUUUCUGUCUUCUCCAAGGCGAGGUCUGGUUCACAUGGUGGCACCAGGGAGAUGCUCCGGUGACACACAGUGCAAAGCUUGCCCCAGGGUAACCCCUUGUCCAUCCCUGGGCUUUGUCAAGAUGCAGCCAGAGGCUGGUUCACAAGAAGCAAUUGGUGGCUUCACGCAGCUCCCUGGGGAAAGCCCUCACUGCCGGAAUCACGUGCAGCCCCCAGUCACGGGUCUGUGGUGCGUCACGAUCAUGAGUCUGCGGGGAUGAGAGCUCCGUGAUUCACACAUGUCAAGGUUGAUGAGGAUACUGAGGAGUCGCCUCCUCAGGGGGAUAAUAGAAAACAACGUCUCUAAAUAGUUCAUUUCUUUCAAGAGAUGUCACAUCAGCUCACUGUCGAAGCGUUGAUUCAUUUCAGGGUUUUGUAUUUGGUUAAGGACAAAAAGAAAAAAAUCUCCUUGGCAAAGACAGUGAAGGGCUGAGGGGAAGCAGCAGAUUCUUGUCAGUGUUUGGGAAACGCAGAGGGAAACCUUGCUUCUUUUCCCUGCUUCCUGCUUCCAAGGUUGGUGACAAAUGCUAUGUCUUCCACCAGCUGGGCAGAGGCUGGUUCUCGAACCUUCCCAUAGGACCAGGCAGGGCUAAAAGAACCUGAAUCAGAGUUCCUGUAAUUAAGGCGUCAUCAAGGUUGGCAGUUAUCAGAAUGGGAUCUGAGAGAGGUUUUGGAAGCGGGUUGUGUGUGUUGGUCGGAUAUCCAUUCCCUUGAAGGGGGGAGGGGAGAAAGUGCACCAAUCUACCAUUGCCAGUCCAGAAAUCCUGCCUGCCAGAUGGCUUAGGAUGUCUGUCAGUCACUCCUGGAGUGAGGGAGGAGAGAAGCUAGGGUAGAAGAAGUGUGGUGUGUGUUUGUUGGGGUGUAUGUGUGUGUCUGUGUGUGUGAUGGGGGAGUGGGGU